UACAGAGGGGGCAAGCGUUGUUCGGAAUUACUGGGCGUAAAGGGCGCGUAGGCGGCCUGUUAAGUCGAACGUGAAAUCCCUGGGCUCAACCCAGGAACUGCGUCCGAUACUGGCAGGCUUGAAUCCGGGAGAGGGAUGUGGAAUUCCAGGUGUAGCGGUGAAAUGCGUAGAUAUCUGGAGGAACACCGGUGGCGAAGGCGGCAUCCUGGACCGGCAUUGACGCUGAGGCGCGAAAGCCAGGGGAGCAAACGGG
rnacentral:rRNA from 1 species